UUCUCGACCACAAUUCUUUUAUGAUUCAGUUUCCAUUUUCUUCUACAAUGUCCUCCGUCCUCCUCAAGUUUCUAUUGCGGAAAAGCUCGAGAAAUAUUAUGAUUUGGGGGAUUUAAAACUCGGUUCCGGUGUGGAUGAGAGCGUAUUAUAUGAGAUUCUCUCUAGUCUGCGGUCUGCAACUACUGAUGCUGCAAGUUCAUCUUCUGCAUUUCCAACAAUAUCUGCGACAAAACCAGUUACCGAACUUCUUUCAGAAGCAGCUCCACUGGAUGAUGCAGAGCCUUUGUUUGAAGAAGAUACUACGAACAAAAUCGAUGGAAUUGUCCAUGAUGAAACCGCUAAUGUGCAGG